rnacentral:rRNA from 1 species
AUGCUGUCCGGCUGGUCUGCAUCUGGGCGCUCUCCACCGCCUGCUUCUUCCUCGUCUCCCUCGCAAUCUCCUGCGCAGUCGCCUACGCACUCGACCAGUCCGCAGUGCGUCCGCGCCGAGUCGACAGACGCGGACGGCGACGACUGUAUCGCGAUGCUGUACUGCCCUGCUGCUGCUCCCAGGCCGCCACCGCCGGGUCCGCCGUGCCCUCGCCUGCCUCGCGCUCGCGGUCGCCAUCGUUGGCCAUUAUAUGUUCCUCGCCGGCGCCCUCCGCUUGCUCUUCGCUCCCGGCGUCGACCCUGGGCAAGGAUACAUCGUCGCCCUCGACAUCCUUGUCAGGCUCGGCUGCACCGUGGUCAUCGUCAUCUUCCCGGCGGGUGA